CGGCACGGCUCGGCGCGGCUCGGCACGGCGCGCCAUGCUCCGCAGCGGCCCCGGCGCGGGGCUCGUCCUGGCGGCGGCCGCGGCGCUCUGCCUCGGCGGGGCGGGAGCCAAGGUGUAUUACUCCUGUGGUGCAGUGGUGGAAUCAAUGGAAAGAGGCCUGAUUUUGUCACCAGGUUUUCCAAACAACUACUACCCAGGGACACACUGUGUCUGGCAGUUUUUCAUUCCCAUGAGAACCCAUCUCAUCUUGGAAAUAUUUGACUUUGACAUUUUUGAGAGCUCUAGUGAAACUCCAACCCCCUGGGAUGGCUUUUCAGCCCCUGCUACAACAGAAAAUAAGGACAUGCCUUCUCUUGAGGAAAACCUGGCCUUUGCUGUCCACACCACAAAACCUUCUCUCCAGACCUCGACGUCGAAGGUGGCUCAAAAUCUGAGCAGCACCAGAGACCAGUCAAAGGACCUUGCUGGUCGCCUGGAUGAACUUCCAGGAGCCAUCUCAAAAAAAAAUGAAGCCAAACAAGCAUCUGAAGAAAACCAGUGGAAGCAGAUGAAGGAGCCCAAAGCAAUUACCAAGGCUCAGCCAGAGGAGCUGCCAUUCCCUGUGGCUGGCAGUGCCUCAGGGCAGAGGCAAAAUAGCAGCGGCCUGGGAACAAGAGAGGAUUUGGAAGGGAAGGUGUUGCUUGCCCACCUAGCUGCUAGUGAGAGAGAUGAAGUCACAGCAGAGAGCUGGACACUUCCCCCAACAGCACUGCCCAUGGAAAUCUCCUCCAGCCCCCAGACAGCAGUGGAUGUCUGUCCCCAUGAUGUAUUAUAUGUUUCUGAUCUCAUCACAUUUUCCUCUCGCUUCUGUGGCCCAAAUUCCCCUGUGAACAAGACCAUGGUCUUUGGUUCAUCUCUGGAAAUGGUUGAGGUUAUCAUGGAGCUGAUCACCACCACGGACCGGGGCCGAGGCUUUGCGAUGCUGUUCGAGUACAGGAACAUCAGUGACCCCAGCACUGUGGAUGCUGUGAGGCAGGAGAGGAAGGAAAACAUGAUGAUGCUGGCAAUUGUAACAGGGAUUGUUGUCUUUGCUCUUGCUUUGCUCUCUGCCCUCUGCAUAGUUUGCAGGCAGAGAACGUGCCCCAAAAGGAGCUCGUCCAACGCCUGCAGUGACCAGGAGAACAGGAUCCAGAACUCCACCGUCGAUAUCAAUGAGCUGCAGCUGGUGGUGCCAAGCCGGGAGAAUGAAAACAACAACCACUCUGUGAGCCGGGAGCAGGCGGUCACUUCCUGCAGAGGCAGCACAGAACGGUCUCCUCAGGACACUGACCCAGAUGUGCCCUCCUCCAUCUCUGCAGUGACCACUGAGACUGGGAGUGAUGAAGUGUUUAUCAUUUCUGCUGGACCUGGGACCAGUGGGCUGAGCUUUACCACCUACAGGAUACAGGACAAAAACCUGAAAAGAAGCGUCACAAGCCCUGCCUCUGUGUCUGACUGGCUGAGCUCCCACCCCACAGCUGCAGGGGCAGAUGCUGCUGAGAAGGGGAACGUGCAGCUGGAGCAUCCCUGUCCCAGGCAGCGCACCUGGAGCGCCCGCACCUUCCACGACCUCCUGGCUCCAAUACCACAGCUACAGAAAAAAUGGUGCAGCUGGAGCACCAACAGCCCCUUCACAAAGCUGGUUGACAGCAGUGGUUUUUCUACAGCUGCAAGACCCCAAGGUGUGCCAACCAGAAAGGUAAUCUCAGCCACUGAGAUAGAGGGAGCAUCAGAGACUGUUUACUCUGAUUCAUCUGCCAGUAAUGCCUCAUAUCCCCUCACUCUGUCUGCACAGAGGCAGCGAAAGUUAACCUCCUGCAAUUUGAAGAAAUCCAGAUUUGGGAACCCUUAUUUUGGAUUUUUAGCCAGCUCCCCUGACAGCAAACAUAUGAGGUCCUUGGAUCCCUCAAGACAUCUAGGGACAGCAUCUCCAGUUAUCAGCCAAAGCCCAAAAAAUCUUCUAGAGAGCUCCAACCCCCUGAAAAUCAACUUGGUCAACGGUUCAAAAACAAAGGAGCUUAUGGUAGAAACAGAUAAAAACAAACCAGUUUUUGUUAUUUCUGAAGAAGGGGAUGAUCAGCAGCCUCUGGUCCUGGCGGAACACCUCAGUCAGUGUGGAGAUCACCUGUCAGAGCAAAAUGCUGUGUAUGCUCCAGCCGUGCUGGAGAAACAGCCGGUGGCUCUGACUGCAGAGAGGAACAGCUCUGCCCCCUUCACGUCGAGCCUUCCCCUCUGGGCAAAAUCCCCCACUUCACACAAAGGCCACGGGAAGGCCCCCAGCUCCUGCAGGGACCAGCAGAGCCCGGAGGGUGGAGAUGCCAACACUGCUGGGCCCCCACAGAACUGCGACACCCCCGCCACUCCUGCGCUGUGCCAAGCGUCAGUCCACUGA
ensembl:lncRNA